rnacentral:rRNA from 1 species
AAAAGCUUUCUUUAAUUGAAUAAUUGAAUUUAAUUUUUUAGUGCAAAAGCAAAAAUAAAAAUUAGGGACAAGAAGACCCUAUGAAUUUUUUAUUAAAUUUUAUAAAAUUUUAUAUAAAGUUUAAUUUAAUUGGGGUGAUGGAAAAAGAAUAAAUAUCUUUUUUUUAAAGAAAAUUGGUUCCGUUUUUAGCGAUUAAAUGAAAAAAAUACUCUAGGGAUAACAGCGUAAUAAUUUUGGAUAGUUCAUAUAGAUAAAAUAGUUUGCGACCUCGAUGUUGGAUUAGGAUUCUUUUUUGGUGAAGAAGUUAAAAAAAGAAGUUUGUUCAACUUAUAAUUUCCUACUUGAUCUGAGUUCAGACCGG